CCUACGGGUGGCAGCAGUGAGGAAUAUUGGUCAAUGGACGAGAGUCUGAACCAGCCAAGUAGCGUGAAGGAUGACUGCCCUAUGGGUUGUAAACUUCUUUUAUAAAGGAAUAAAACGAGGCACGUGUGCCUUUUUGCAUGUACUUUAUGAAUAAGGAUCGGCUAACUCCGUGCCAGCAGCCGCGGUAAUACGGAGGAUCCGAGCGUUAUCCGGAUUUAUUGGGUUUAAAGGGAGCGUAGAUGGGUUGUUAAGUCAGUUGUGAAAGUUUGCGGCUCAAACGUAAAAUUGCAAUUGAUACUGGCAGUCGUGAGUACAGUUGAGGUAAGCGGAAUUCGUGGUGUAGCGGUGAAAUGCUUAGAUAUCACGAAGAACCCCGAUUGCGAAGGCAGCUUACUAAACUGUGACUGACAUUGAUGCUCGAAAGUGUGGGUAUCAAACAGGAUUAGAUACCCUGGUAGUC
rnacentral:rRNA from 1 species